CGAUAACGAACGAGACCUCAACCUGCUAAAUAGGACCCUCUAUUCUUCGGGAUAGGGCGGCGCCUUCUUAGAGGGACUAUCGGUGUGUAACCGAUGGAAGUUUGAGGCAAUAACAGGUCUGUGAUGCCCUUAGAUGUUCUGGGCCGCACGCGCGCUACACUGAUACGUUCACCGAGCUUACAACCUUGACUGAGAGGUCUGGGUAAUCUUUUGAGAUCGUAUCGUGCUGGGGAUAGAUUAUUGUAAUUUUUAAUCUUCAACGAGGAAUUCCUAGUAAACGCGAUUCAUCAGAUCGCAUUGAUUACGUCCCUGCCCUUUGUACACACCGCCCGUCGCUACUACCGAUUGAAUGGCU
rnacentral:rRNA from 1 species